CAGCCGCCGCGGGAAUACGAAGGGGGCUAGCGUUGCUCGGAAUGACUGGGCGUAAAGGGCGCGUAGGCGGAUUGUUUAGUUAGGCGUGAAAUUCCUGGGCUUAACCUGGGGACUGCGCUUAAUACAGGCAGUCUAGAGUGAGGAAGAGGGUUGUGGAAUUCCCAGUGUAGAGGUGAAAUUCGUAGAUAUUGGGAAGAACACCGGUGGCGAAGGCGGCAACCUGGUCCUUGACUGACGCUGAGGCGCGAAAGCGUGGGGAGCAAACAGGAUUAGAUACCCCUGUAGUCCCUGUCUCUUAUAC
rnacentral:rRNA from 1 species